AUUUUCCCGUUGUCAGUUCAGUUAUAGAUUCACAGUAUGCCAUCAUAAUGUGGGAACGUGACCCAGUCUCCUCGGCGGCUCGUGAGCCACUUUUUACCAUUGAACUAUAAAUAAACUGGAAGGCUAACUGCUAUGAUGAUGGCCUAUGAUUUGAUGAAGCCAAAAUAGUUUUUCUGAGUUAUGAGCAGAAAUACUUGACCCCAAACGUCGGGCUAUAUAUUAAAUUGAAGCUAUUGAAAAUUGCUAUUCGGUGUGGAAAUUUCAAGACUUCAGCCAAAAGAAAAAUAUUUAAAAAAUACAAAAACAACUGCAAAACGGCAAAUUAUCGGUAAUUAUGUUUGUAGUUUUUCAAUAUUUCCCUUUUAGCUAAAGUCCUGAAAUUUCUACACCAAAUAGCGUUUUUCAAUAGCUUCAAUUUGAUAUAUAGCCGAACGUUCAGUGUUGAGUAUUUCCGCUCAUAACUCAGAAAAACUAAAAUACACUGGCUUCAAUUUCCCCCCCUGAGUUAGCCUUCCAGUUUAUUUAUAGUUCAAUGUGUGGGAACGUGACCCAGUCUCCUCGGCGGCUCGUGAGCCACUUUUUACUUCUUCUCACAUUAUGACGUCAUACUGUGUAUCUAACUGA